rnacentral:rRNA from 1 species
AGAGUUUGAUCAUGGCUCAGACGAACGCUGGCGCAGGCUUAACACAUGCAAGUCGNNCGCUCGUAGCAAUACGGGGAGUGGCAGACGGGUGAGUAACGCGUGGGACAUACCCUCCUCGGAAUAGCUCAGGGAAACUUGGAUUAAUCCGGAUACGGCUGAGAGGCGAAAGAUUUAUCGCCGGAGGAUUGGCCCGCGUUCGAUUAGCUUGUGGUGAGGUAACGGCUCACCAAGGCGAUGAUCGAUAGCUGGUCUGAGAGGAUGAUCAGCCACAUUGGGACUGAGACACGGCCCAAACUCCUACGGGAGGCAGCAGUGGGGAAUAUUGGACAAUGGGCGCAAGCCUGNNCCAGCCAUGCCGCGUGAGUGAUGACGGCCUUAGGGUUGUAAAGCUCUUUCGCUCGGGACGAUAAUGACGGUACCGAGAUAAGAAGCCCCGGCUAACUUCGUGCCAGCAGCCGCGGUAAUACGAAGGGGGCUAGCGUUGUUCGGAAUUACUGGGCGUAAAGCGCGUGUAGGCGGGUCUUUAAGUCAGGGGUGAAAUGCCAAGGCUCAACCUUGGAACUGCCUUUGAUACUGGAGAUCUUGAGUCCGGGAGAGGUGAGUGGAAUUGCGAGUGUAGAGGUGAAAUUCGUAGAUAUUCGCAAGAACACCAGUGGCGAAGGCGGCUCACUGGCCCGGAACUGACGCUGAGACGCGAAAGCGUGGGGAGCAAACAGGAUUAGAUACCCNNGUAGUCC